CACGUAGUUAGCCGUGGCUUAUUCGACAGGUACCGUCUUCUGCUCUUCCCUGUCAAAAGAAGUUUACAACCCGAAAGCCUUCUUCCUUCACGCGGCGUUGCUGGGUCAGGCUUUCGCCCAUUGCCCAAUAUUCCCCACUGCUGCCUCCCGUAGGAGUCCGGGCCGUAUCUCAGUCCCAAUGUGGCCGGCCAACCUCUCAGUCCGGCUACUGAUCGUCGCCUUGGUAGGCCGUUACCCUACCAACUAGCUAAUCAGACGCGAGGCCAUCUCUCAGCGAUAAAUCUUUGGUACAGAUACCAUGCGAUACCCGUACGUUAUGCGGUAUUAGCAGUCGUUUCCAACUGUUGUCCCCCACUGAAAGGCAGGUUCCUCACGCGUUACUCACCCGUCCGCCACUAAGCAUUCUUUUCCAUUGACCGAAGUCUCUUUCGAAGGUGCUCCGUUCGACUUGCAUGUGUUAAGCACGCCGCCAGCGUUCGUCCUGAGCCAGGAUCAAACUCU
rnacentral:rRNA from 1 species